rnacentral:lncRNA from 1 species
GGCCGUCACACUGGGAGAGAGUGUGGGGUGGGGUGGACGCCCCUUUCUGUCACUCACUCACACUUGUGAUGGCGGCACGGGGAAGGGGGCAGAAUCAUUGUCACCUCAUCACUCCUUAAAGGGCUCCCUCCCCACACUGCGGGGUGGGGACACUGCACCUGCUCUCCCUCCACUGGGCCCGCACCUCUUCUGCAGCAGCCUUUGGCUUGUGAGGGCUUCUGUGCCCAGCGGGUAUCGGCUCUGACCUUCCUCUCCUCCCAGGGCCCAAGAUCCUGGAGGGGGCCAGAGGGGCUGCGCUCACACACGGAGCCCAGCUCCACGCCUUUCCCUGUCAUCCGCCCGCUCAGAGUUGUCUGGAUCGCAAUGGCUCUUACAGAAUGGUCACACUCUACGGGAACCACAGCACAUCCCUCAGCUUGGCUGGAUUAACUGUCGUGGGAAGUCACUGUUGGAGGCCGGUGUCAAAGCCCAGAUAGAGAGCCUGUGGCAAGCAGCCAGGACAGCAGGAACCUGACUUCUGCUGGCACAUGGACCACAAUUUAAGAGGUUGACUUGGAACUGCAGUAUCUUCUCAGUUAGGGUGAGUUUUUCUUCCCAUGAUCCAACAGGUUUUUCCCAGGUGAUGGAUUGGCAUUUCUGGGCGGAGCUGGGGAGCCUGCAGGGCUCUUAGGGUGGCAUUUGCCCGGUGUCCUGGGGCGACCCUCCAUGUGAACCCUGGAUGGGGACAAUCUUCACUGCCUGUCACAGCUCAGGAUGGUUCUGAGGUCCGCCUUCAAAGCCUUUCUCUGGUGGCCAGAACUCUUUAGAGGCCACACUGCCUGAGUUUGUUUUCUGUGAAGGCUGACAGUGAAUCUCUUCUCCUUGGGAAUUCUCCCUUUGUGUCCUGCCUUUCCUCAGGGAGGUGUCGUUUGACAGCAGACACGCUACGAAGAAUGUCUCCAAAUCCUACCUUUGCAGCCUGAGCCCCUAGCACGCAGGCUCCUGGGAGCUCCAUCUCCCUGAGCCAGACUCGAGGCGCCCAAGAGACACAGAGAGAGAAAUCUUUGAAGUCGAAUGCGUUAGGACUAAUUACUCCUCAGAAGCAUUUGCAAAGUAAUUAUGGACUAUUGUUAGGAUGCUCCAGUGGUUGAUUUUUUUUUUUAAAUGAUGAAGCUUUGCAUUGAAUAAAUGCUUAUGGGGGAAAGGAGGUGAUGAUAAG